rnacentral:rRNA from 1 species
GCUGAAUGCAGGCAUGACGGGUGUGUGCAGCACGGCCUUCGGUCGUAAGCACCUUUCAGCCGGGGAGGAAGGGCGGUGAAGGGUUAAUACCCUCUUCGAUUGACCGUUACCGCAGAAGAAAGCACCGGGCUAACUCCGUGUCAGCAGCCGCGGUAAUACGGAGGGGUGCAAGCGUUAAUCGGAAUUACUGGGCGUAAAGCGCACGCAGGCGGUCUGUCAAGUCGGAUGUGAAAUCCCCGGGCUCAACCUGGGAACUGCAUUCGAAACUGGCAGGCUAGAGUCUUGUAGAGGGGGGGUAGAAUUCCAGGUGUAGCGGUGAAAUGCGUAGAGAUCUGGAGGAAUACCGGUGGCGAAGGCGGCCCCCUGGACAAAGACUGACGCUCAGGUGCGAAAGCGUGGGGAGCAAACAGGAUUAGAUACCCUGGUAGUCCACGCCGUAAACGAUGUCGAUUUGGAGGUUGUGCCCUUGAGGCGUGGCUUCCGGAGCUAACGCGUUAAAUCGACCGCCUGGGGAGUACGGCCGCAAGGUUAAAACUCAAAUGAAUUGACGGGGGCCCGCACAAGCGGUGGAGCAUGUGGUUUAAUUCGAUGCAACGCGAAGAACCUUACCUGGUCUUGACAUCCACAGAACUUUCCAGAGAUGGAUUGGUGCCUUCGGGAACUGUGAGACAGGUGCUGCAUGGCUGUCGUCAGCUCGUGUUGUGAAAUGUUGGGUUAAGUCCCGCAACGAGCGCAACCCUUAUCCUUUGUUGCCAGCGGUUAGGCCGGGAACUCAAAGGAGACUGCCAGUGAUAAACUGGAGGAAGGUGGGGAUGACGUCAAGUCAUCAUGGCCCUUACGACCAGGGCUACACACGUGCUACAAUGGCAUAUACAAAGAGAAGCGACCUCGCGAGAGCAAGCGGACCUCAUAAAGUAUGUCGUAGUCCGGAUUGGAGUCUGCAACUCGACUCCAUGAAGUCGGAAUCGCUAGUAAUCGUAGAUCAGAAUGCUACGGUGAAUACGUUCCCGGGCCUUGUACACACCGCCCGUCACACCAUGGGAGUGGGUUGCAAAAGAAGUAGGUAGCUUAACCUUCGGGAGGGCGCUACCCGCUUUGUUCA